AUUGAACGUGAAAGUGAGGCUUAAAAUUAUAUAUAUAAUAUAUAUUUGUUGUGGUUUUUUUUUUGGUUGGUUUGGAUGUUUUCGUGGAUCUUCUUUUUUUUUUCCUUUUUCUUUUUUCCGCGGAACAGGAGUGUGUGUGUAUGUGUGUUGGCAUGGUUGUCUGCCAUGUAGU
rnacentral:ribozyme from 15 species